AUGGCACCCACUCAAGACAAGCACAGCUCUCAGGAAUUGCUCCAGGCUCAAGUUGAUCUUUGGCACCACGCAUUGGGAUUUGUCAAGUCCAUGGCACUAAAAUGUGCAAUGGAAUUGCAAAUCCCUAACACCAUCCAGAACCAUGGUGGGUCUAUGAGCCCUUCAGAGUUGGCCACAAAGAUUGGGCUCCAUCCAUCUAAGCUUCCUCGCUUACGGCGACUCAUGCGUGUGCUCACUAUGUCAGGCAUCUUUGUUGUUCAUGAGGUAGCCUUGCCAAACAAGGAGGUUGCUUAUGGGCUUACCCCAACCACACGCCUACUUGCUAUCGAUGAAGUUAGAUCAAGCUUAUCUCCCUUUCUAUCUUUGUUACUUGAUUCAACUGUCACUGCCCCCUUUUUCGCCAUGCACUCAUGGUUUCUAGAUGAGCAUUCCACUUCCCUGUUCGAGAAAGCUCACGGCCUUAACGUUUGGGAGAUGGCUGGCCAGAACAGUACUUACAACCAGCUAAUCAAUGACGCGAUGGUUUCUGAUAGUAACUUUCUCAUGGAUAUCAUCUUGAGGGAGUGUGGUGGUGUAUUUCUUGGCAUAAAGUCGCUUAUUGAUGUCGCCGGAGGACAUGGUGGAUCUGCCAGGGCAAUUGCUAAGGCGUUCCCACAAAUGAAAUGCACUGUGUUGGAUCUCCCUCAUGUGGUUGAAGAAGCUCCUACUGACGACCAUGUGUCGUUUAUUUCUGGCAAUAUGUUUAAGCACAUUCCGCCAGCGGAUGCUCUUUUCCUGAAGUGGGUUUUCCAUGACUGGGGCGAUGAAGACUGUGUCAAGAUACUGAAAAAAUGCAAGGAAGCUAUACCUCCCAGAGAAGUUGGUGGAAAGGUGAUAAUCGUAGAUAUGGUGGUUGGAUCUGGGCCAGAUGAGAUUGUAACAAGAGAGACACAAGCUUUGUUUGAUCUCCUUAUCAUGUCUUUUGAGGGGAUUGAGCGAGAGGAACAUGAGUGGAAAAAGAUAUUCAUGGAAGCUGGGUUCAGCGACUACAAAAUUAUAUCAGUGCUGGGAGUUAGAUCUGUUAUUGAACUCUACCCUUGA
rnacentral:rRNA from 1 species